rnacentral:rRNA from 1 species
GAUGAACGCUAGCUACAGGCUUAACACAUGCAAGUCGAGGGGAAACGACAUCGAAAGCUUGCUUUUGAUGGGCGUCGACCGGCGCACGGGUGAGUAACGCGUAUCCAACCUGCCCAUCACUUGGGAAUAACCUUGCGAAAGUAAGACUAAUACCCAAUGACAUCCCACGAAGACAUCUGAAUGGGAUUAAAGAUUUAUCGGUGACGGAUGGGGAUGCGUCUGAUUAGCUUGUUGGCGGGGUAACGGCCCACCAAGGCAACGAUCAGUAGGGGUUCUGAGAGGAAGGUCCCCCACAUUGGAACUGAGACACGGUCCAAACUCCUACGGGAGGCAGCAGUGAGGAAUAUUGGUCAAUGGGCGAGAGCCUGAACCAGCCAAGUAGCGUGCAGGAUGACGGCCCUAUGGGUUGUAAACUGCUUUUAGAAGGGAAUAAAGUGGGUCUCGGGAGACUUUUUGCAUGUACCUUAUGAAUAAGGACCGGCUAAUUCCGUG